rnacentral:rRNA from 1 species
GACAGAGGGUGCAAACGUUGCUCGGAAUUACUGGGCGUAAAGCGCGUGUAGGCGGAUUGGUGUGUCAGAUGUGAAAUCCCUGGGCUCAACCCAGGAACUGCACCUGAAACUACCAGUCUUGAGUGGUGGAGAGGGAAGUGGAAUUCCUGGUGUAGAGGUGAAAUUCGUAGAUAUCAGGAGGAACACCAGUGGCGAAGGCGGCUUCCUGGACACCAACUGACGCUGAGACGCGAAAGCUAGGGGAGCGAACAGG